UUUUAUUGGUCUCCUUUAUUACGAAUUGGAAAACUGGAUAUUUUCCUACUGCUACAACAUCCCCACAAUGUGUGAACACCUGAGCCAGGUGACCAGGUGCAUCAGUGUGAAGGCUGGCCCCUGCCACAAGUUGCUCCUCUUGCCUUUCCUGACCAUGACCUAGGGACAUUCAGAUGUGCCAAUGGAAUCCCCUUUCACUGUUUACUGUGAACUCCAUCCUGACCCUCAAUGAAGGUGCUUGUCCAUAGGUCCCCCUCUCUUCCCACCCCACCUUCCUCACCUUCCCUGCCUGCUUGGUUGAGUCAGGCCCCUCGGCUCUUCCACCAAUGACCUCCUGAUAGUGUGCACUGACUGUGUCUCUAUAGGACCUGUGAGUAUAUAAACUUUGUUUUUCUGGGCCUCUCUUGCAUCACCUCUUGUGGCCAACCUGACUAAUCAUUUUAUGACAGAUACAAAACACCUGCUAAUUUAAAAUUUUUUGAAAAUCAUUUAGAAUCCCAAAUACAUAAUAUUUUAUAUUUUUUCUACUUGUUUUCCAAAGAUGAUCGUGCCAUUUAGGAUUAAGUAAAUUAAAUGCUUUAUAAACUAACUAUGCUUCAAACAUAUUUCAGUAAAUAAAAUAAAGUGAACAGUUUGUACUUAAGUAUGGGGGAGACACCUCAUUCUUGGUAAGCAAACUAGUGGACUAGUGAAAAGACAAUCCUGUGGGAUGAAUAGGAGGAAAACAUAUCUUACUAGUGAUGAUCAAUCAUAGUUGUUGGGCACGGAUUAGCAUGUUCCAUAAGAGAAUGUAGAAGGCGAACUCAACUAUAAAUUAGCAGAUGUGACUUAAGAGAGAUCUUAGUGACUGAAUGUCAGUUGGUGUAAAAGGAUCCUCAGCUGGUGAAGCAGGGUUACCUGUCUGGGCUAGAAAAGUGGACAGGGGCAGAGGAGUGGUGACCCAGUGGAUAUCCACCUGAAAUUUAUAAAGAAGUUGAUUUCCUAAAAACUUCACAAUGAAAUGUAUAGUUUUUAAAUUUAAAUUUUGUAAAUUUUAAAACACCACUUAAUAUUGAAGAGAGAACUUGGGGCAUAAUUAAUUGAAUAAAAAUAUGUAAUAGAGCCUGAGUGGCUCA
rnacentral:lncRNA from 1 species